rnacentral:lncRNA from 1 species
AGUCACAGAGCUUACUAUUAUGAAAUACGAACACAACAACACAAUUCUAGAACUUAAAAUAUAACAUCCAAAGUUACUGAUUAGUAAUCACACUAUAUUCAAAACUAAUACUUGGCCCCUACUUGAUUAGAGUAUUCAACUACAAACGUUAGAACUUUUAACCUUAACAAAAAGAAUCGGUCCCUAACUAAAGUAUACUGUCCCCUUACCUUUGAAAGAUGGCCAAUGAAAACGUUAAAUUGCAGAAAACAACAACUUUAACUUGCUGGAGGAGAGCUUUGCGCCACACGUGAUUCACCUUAACAGAAACACAAAGAAAUGGAGUAAUAAUUAACACUAUCCAAAAGGAACACAAUCCACUUACCUCGAGAAACACACAAAUUACGAACUGCGAUUACAAAUUGCUAACAACAGAAAACCAAUAAAGUGACGACUCAAGUCAAAAUAAUAGCCCAAAGAUGAGAGGGCGACAAAGAUGAAAAUACACGAGUAAUGAAAAGUAUAGAGAAGAAUGAAAAAUUUUGUAAAAAGAAUGUCGAAGAAAUUUUCUUUGACACUUACGAAUUAACGUGAAAAAAGAAAAAUGAGGAAAAGAUGGAGAAGAGGG